rnacentral:lncRNA from 1 species
GAGAUCUUCUCUACAACCCUUUCAUUUAACACCUGGGGAAACUGAGGCCCAGAGAGGAAGUGUCUUGCCCAAGAUCACCUUCUCUGAACCUCUCACUCCUGUCCUGGGCCCUCUCUAUGCAGGACUGAGCUCCCAGGCGCCUUAACGGAAAUGAACUCAUGUGCACUCCCUGCGCACACGCACGCACACACAGGGGCCCCCCUCACACCUGGGCAGCCUCAUGGACCCAGAGAACCAGCCCUCACCCGCACUGCCUCUGCAAGAUGGGCAAGCUGGCGCCAGACCACUUGUGAGAUGUGGACACUGAGUCCCAAGAGGACAAGUGACUGGUCACUAGCCAGCUUCAGGGCUAGGACAUGUGACUCUGGGCUGGGGAUUUGUCUCCUACCACGAAUGUGUCCAAUUCAAAUUAAUAGAAGGUGCUAGAGUGGCCUGGUCAUGCACAUGCGCGUAAAAACCAGCUUAAGGUUUUUAUGCAGCAUACGCGCUUUCUGAGGUAUUGCUUCUUGCCUACGCAGUCACAUAAUAAAGACAAUAUCCAGGCCGCUGAGGACAGAUGCUGUAGCACCCACAUUUUGGCCUGACACAACCCUUCUGGGUUCAAUUUAGCAACUUGUAAUUUAGCCACUCACGGAGAGGUCUCUCCUCCCUGUAGGCUACUUACGGGAGUGGUACAACCCUGUUGACAGGCUGUUGUCCCCGUGAUGGGGACACCAGGGCGUCAGGGACCAGGCUCAGCCAAGGAGAACAAUACAGCUCAGGCUUUAAAAGGGCCACUGGUGGAGGGUGUCGAUGACAAAGGAAACGCUUGUGCCCAGUGACAAAGGCACGAUGCUGAGUGGUAGGAGAGGUCACUCUCCCAGGGAGAAGGCAUAAGCCUCAAGGAGCGAGAAGGCGGCAGGAGCUCGGCCCGGGCAGCACAAGUUCUCUCCGGGGAAGGCGCUUACUGGGGUCACGUUUCUUCUUCAGACGACCAUUUAGAGGACUUACGAAAUAAAAGGAAUAAAACAAAGACAGGAGGGCAGGAGGGAAGGAGGCAGAGACCGUCACCUAAAAGAGCCUAAGAUACCUGCGACGGAGCCACGAAGGCCAGGGCGCAGGGCGGGGGCGCGGGGCGCGGGGCGCGAGGCGAGGGGCGCGGGGCCGGGGCGCCCCCAGGCCCGAGGGUCGCCCCCGCCCGUGGCCCGCGCUCCCGGCCGCGCCGGCGGCUCCGCAUUGGCAUUCCGCGCCGCGCCGCCGGGUGCGUGCCCGCGCCGUUCCCAGCCCGCGGCGCCGCGCGGGGACAGUGGCGCAUUGUUCGCCGGACACCCCGGGCGGCGCAGCGCCCUCGGGGCUUGGCGCGGCCCCGGCGCGAUUUGCAUGCGCUCCAGUCACAAAGGUUCAAGAAUAGACUUUCCAUGCCAUGCUGAGGAAUUUGGCUCCAAACCUGAGGACAGUAGGGAGCCACAGCAGGCUUUAGACCCGGUGACUCUCCCUGGUGGCCUCAGCGGGGAACAUGCAGAAAGCGGUCCAGAGACCUCCAGAAUUCAGACUGGUCAAAUUUCAAAGGAAACAUCGCAGAGCUACUGAAGACAGCCAACUUUCUGUUUUUCCAUGUUGGAACCUUUAGAAAAACAAUUAAUUAUAAUUUCCUUUUUUGAAAGGAUAUUUUUAAACCAAAAGAAGUAGGAAGACAACCUCCAGAUCAAGG